rnacentral:rRNA from 1 species
UCGGGAAUAUUGCGCAAUGGAGGAAACUCUGACGCAGUGACGCCGCGUGCAGGAAGAAGGUUUUCGGAUUGUAGACUGCUUUAGACAGGGAAGAAACAAGACAGUACCUGUAGAAUAAGCUCCGGCUAACUACGUGCCAGCAGCCGCGGUAAUACGUAGGGAGCAAGCGUUAUCCGGAUUUAUUGGGUGUAAAGGGUGCGUAGACGGGAAUGCAAGUUGGUUGUGAAAUCCCUCGGCUCAACCGAGGAAUUGCAACCAAAACUAUAUUUCUUGAGUGCUGGAGAGGAAAGUGGAAUUCCUAGUGUAGCGGUGAAAUGCGUAGAUAUUAGGAGGAACACCAGUGGCGAAGGCGACUUUCUGGACAGUAACUGACGUUGAGGCACGAAAGUGUGGGGAGCAAACAGGAUUAGAUACCC